rnacentral:rRNA from 1 species
AGCAGCCGCGGUAAUUCCAGCUCCAAUAGCGUAUAUUAAAGUUGUUGCAGUUAAAAAGCUCGUAGUUGAAUUUCGAGACCGGCUUACUGGUCGUGCUAUUGUACGUACUGGUAUAAUCGGUUUCUCCUUUCUGACGAACUAUAAUGCCAUUAAUUUGGUGUUAUAGGGAAUCAGGACUGUUACUUUGAAAAAAUUAGAGUGUUUAAAGCAGGCUCACGCUUGAAUACAUUAGCAUGGAAUAACGGAAUAGGACGUUUGAUUCUAUUUUGUUGGUUUCUAGGAUCGACGUAAUGAUUAAUAGGGAUAGUUGGGGGCAUUAGUAUUCAAUUGUCAGAGGUGGAAUUCUUGGAUUUAUUGAAGACUAACUACUGCGAAAGCAUUUGCCAAGGAUGUUUUCAUUAAUCAAGAACGAAAGUUAGGGAUCGAAGACGAUCAGAUACCGUCGUAGUCUUAACCAUAAACUAUGCCGACUAGGGAUCGGAUGAUGUUAAUUUUUUCAAUGACUCAUUCGGCGCCUUAC